AUUGAACGCUGGCGGAAUGCUUUACACAUGCAAGUCGAACGGCAGCGGAAAGUAGCUUGCUACUUUGCCGGCGAGCGGCGGACGGGUGAGUAAUGUCUGGGAAACUGCCCGAUGGAGGGGGAUAACUACUGGAAACGGUAGCUAAUACCGCAUAACGUCGCAAGACCAAAGAGGGGGACCUUCGGGCCUCUUGCCAUCGGAUGUGCCCAGAUGGGAUUAGCUAGUAGGUGGGGUAACGGCUCACCUAGGCGACGAUCCCUAGCUGGUCUGAGAGGAUGACCAGCCACACUGGAACGCAGACACGGUCCAGACUCCUACGGGAGGCAGCAGUGGGGAAUAUUGCACAAUGGGCGCAAGCCUGAUGCAGCCAUGCCGCGUGUAUGAAGAAGGCCUUCGGGUUGUAAAGUACUUUCAGCGGGGAGGAAGGUGUUGAGGUUAAUAACCUCAGCAAUUGACGUUACCCGCAGAAGAAGCACUGGCUAACUCCGUGCCAGCCGCCGCCGUAA
rnacentral:rRNA from 1 species